CCUCGUCUAUUUUAGACCCCACGCACAAGCUCAUCUGGCUCUGCUCUCAUGCAGCACGGUGUCUCAUUGUGGUGAUGGUGAUAGUGCGUGAUAUGCUUUCGGAUCUUUUUUUUAUUUUAUUUUUUAAAUUAAUGGGUUAAUCUAGUAUUAUUUAAAAAUAUUUGAAACUCUUUUUCAUUAGAUUUAUCACUAAUACAUGACUACUUAAAACCGCUCAAUGGUAGCAAUGGAUUGGCUUUCUUGGCAAUGUCUUUAGACGGUUAUAGCUUACGUCAUG
rnacentral:lncRNA from 1 species